ensembl:misc_RNA Y_RNA Y RNA
UGCCUGUAAGAAGAUAGUGAGUUAUCUCAAAUGAUUGCUCAGUUACAGGUGGAACUCCUUGUUCUACUCUUUCCCCACUUCUCACUACUGCACUUGACCAGUCAACA